rnacentral:tRNA from 1 species
GAGGAUAUAGCUCGAGCGGUAGAGCACAUGCUUGGCAUGCAUUAGGUCCUGGGUUCAAUCCCAAGUACCCUCU